AUGAGGGGAUCCCAAGUGCUUGCUCGUAAGAGUAAGCUGUUUUUAUGUCUAAAAAGCAUAGAGAGUAAGGGCUGGGUAAGACGGGUGCCAGCCGCCGCGGUAAUACCUGCAGCUCAAGUAGUGACCGCUAUUAUUGGGCCUAAAACGUUCGUAGCCGGUUUGGUAAAUGCCUGGGUAAAUCGUGUAGCUUAACUAUACGAAUUCCGGGUAGACUGCCAAACUUGAGACCGGGAGAAGCUAGAGGUACUCCUGGGGUAGAGGUGAAAUUCUGUAAUCCUGGGGGGACCACCAGUGGCGAAGGCGUCUAGCUAGAACGGGUUUGACGGUGAGGAACGAAGCCCUGGGGCGCAAACCGGAUUAGAUACCCGGGUAGUCCAGGGUGUAAACGCUGCUUGCUUGAUGUUAGUUGGGCUCCGAGCCCAAUUAGUGUCGGAGAGAAGUUGUUAAGCAAGCUGCCUGGGAAGUACGAUCGCAAGAUUGAUGAGGGGAUAUGAGGGGAUGGGAGCACA
rnacentral:rRNA from 1 species